GUAAUGGAUAAAUCGCCUAAAUCUUACUAAAAUUUGUUAAGUCAGUUUGUAUACCACUAUAAAAGUAAUAUUUAAUUAUUAUUACUUUAAUUUUUAAAAAUAAAAAAUUAAAUUAAGUCAUGGUGCAGCAUAAAUUUUAGGAUGAAGUGAAUUACAUUUCUUUUUAGAAUUUUAAAAAAUUAAAGUAAAUUUUAGGAUUUGAAAGUAAAAAUUCAAUAAAAUGGUUUUUUGAAUUAAGUUCUGAAGUAUGUACAU
rnacentral:rRNA from 1 species